UACGUAGGGUGCGAGCGUUGUCCGGAUUUAUUGGGCGUAAAGGGCGCGUAGGCGGCCUUCUAAGUCGAACGUGAAAUCCCUGGGCUCAACCCAGGAACUGCGUCCGAUACUGGGAGGCUUGAAUCCGGGAGAGGGAUGCGGAAUUCCAGGUGUAGCGGUGAAAUGCGUAGAUAUCGGGAGGAACACCUGUGGCGAAAGCGGCUCACUGGACCAUAACUGACGCUGAUGCACGAAAGCUGGGGGAGCAAACAGG
rnacentral:rRNA from 1 species